CGUCAAAUCAUCAUGCCCCUUAUGACCUGGGCUACACACGUACUACAAUGGCCGGUACAGAGGGCAGCGAAACCGCGAGGUGGAGCGAAUCUCAGAAAGCCGGUCUCAGUUCGGAUUGCAGGCUGCAACUCGCCUGCAUGAAGCCGGAAUUGCUAGUAAUCGCGGAUCAGCAUGCCGCGGUGAAUACGUUCCCGGGUCUU
rnacentral:rRNA from 1 species